UGGGGAAUCUUGGACAAUGCGGGCAACCGUGAUCCAGCAAUGCCGCGUGAGUGAAGAAGGCCUUAGGGUUGUAAAGCUCUUUUACCCGGGAUGAUAAUGACAGUACCGGGAGAAUAAGCCCCGGCUAACUCCGUGCCAGCAGCCGCGGUAAUACGGAGGGGGCUAGCGUUGUUCGGAAUCACUGGGCGUAAAGCGCGCGUAGGCGGCAUACCAAGUCAGAGGUGAAAUCCCGGGGCUUAACCCCGGAACUGCCUUUGAAACUGGAAUGCUAGAAUCUGGGAGAGGUGAGUGGAAUUCCGAGUGUAGAGGUGAAAUUCGUAGAUAUUCGGAAGAACACCAGUGGCGAAGGCGGCUCACUGGACCAGUAUUGACGCUGAGGUGCGAAAGCGUGGGGAGCAAACAGGAUUAGAUACCCCCGUAGUCC
rnacentral:rRNA from 1 species